rnacentral:rRNA from 2 species
AGUAACACGUGGGUAACCUACCUAUAAGACUGGGAUAACUCCGGGAAACCGGGGCUAAUACCGGAUAAUAUUUUGAACCGCAUGGUUCAAUAGUGAAAGACGGUUUCGGCUGUCACUUAUAGAUGGACCCGCGCCGUAUUAGCUAGUUGGUAAGGUAACGGCUUACCAAGGCGACGAUACGUAGCCGACCUGAGAGGGUGAUCGGCCACACUGGAACUGAGACACGGUCCAGACUCCUACGGGAGGCAGCAGUAGGGAAUCUUCCGCAAUGGGCGAAAGCCUGACGGAGCAACGCCGCGUGAGUGAUGAAGGUCUUCGGAUCGUAAAACUCUGUUGUUAGGGAAGAACAAAUUUGUUAGUAACUGAACAAGUCUUGACGGUACCUAACCAGAAAGCCACGGCUAACUACGUGCCAGCAGCCGCGGUAAUACGUAGGUGGCAAGCGUUAUCCGGAAUUAUUGGGCGUAAAGCGCGCGUAGGCGGUUUCUUAAGUCUGAUGUGAAAGCCCACGGCUCAACCGUGGAGGGUCAUUGGAAACUGGGAAAACUUUGAGUGCAGAAGAGGAGAGUGGAAAUUCCAUGUGUAGCCGGUGAAAUGCGCAGAGAUAUGGAGGAACACCAGUGGCGAAGGCGGCUCUCUGGUCUGUAACUGACGCUGAUGUGCGAAAGCGUGGGGAUCAAACAGGAUUAGAAUACCCUGGUAAUCCACGCCGUUAACGAAUGAGUGCUAAGUGUUAGGGGGUUUCCGCCCCUUAGUGCUGCAGCUACGCAUUAAGCACUCCGCCUGGGGAGUACGACCGCAAGGUUGAAACUCAAGGAAUUGACGGGGACCCGCACAAGCGGUGGAGCAUGUGGUUUAAUUCGAAGCAACGCGAAAUAACCUUACCAAAUCUUGACAUCCUUUGACCGCUCUAGAGAUAGAGUCUUCCCCUUCGGGGGACAAAGUGACAAGUGGUGCAUGGUUGUCGUCAGCUCGUGUCGUGAGAUGUUGGGUUAAAUCCCGCACGAGCGCUGACAAACCGGAGGAAGGUGGGGAUGAACGUCAAUCAUCAUGCCCCUUUAUGAUUUGGACUACAAACAUGCUACAUUG